GGGGGUAUAGGUCAGUGGUAGAGUAUUCAGCAUGCACAAAGUCCUGGGUUCAAUCCCCAGUACUACCA
rnacentral:tRNA from 1 species